UGUUACAAAUGACAUAAGACAGAGUGUGCGCGCGCGCGCGGCGCGUGUGUUUGGGAGAGAGAGAAUUGGAAAAUGGAAGGAUUGGUUGAAGGCUUCUUCGCAGGUAACGUGCCAUGUCUGAUGAUCUGAAGAAGAGCAUUUCACUUCAAUUUUCAUUCCUUUCUCCAUAAUGGAAGAUCGAGAAUCUGUGGAAUCUAGGACAAAGAAGUCCAGUAUAUCCUCAGGUGGCAGGGUCCAAGAACGUGAAGAAUUUCUCCGUAGGUUUGUAGAUAGCGAAAGCUUGGUUGAGAACCUUAAGACAUGGUAUGGAGAGUUAGCCAAGAAUUCAGAGGAACCUCCUUUUGAUGCUCCUUUUGAAUUAGUAGAUCUUCAAAAGUUUGAUUAUGCUUUGGAAGGAGUUCCAUUUCAGCAGCUGGUUCGAAUCCCUAGUGCAAUCUAUGAUUCGGCUUCUGGCGCUGUGGAAGCAACUGCUUAUCUUGCCCUUGAAGAUUUUCUUCAUGCAAGUGUGAAGGGUUUGAUCGGAACAAACCCUAUUAUUUGUAAAAGAAAGAAACAAAAGAAGACUAAAAGAAGUAGAAGAAGACAAAGAGAAAAAGCAAGAAUGAAAAGAAAGAAAACGAGGGAAGAAAGGAAAAGGAAAAGUUGGUGGGCUGCAAAUGUGAAAGAAUGAAUUUGGCGCGUAGUUUGCGGUGUUAUCCUGCCACGUAUUCACAUUCGCUGAAAAUAGACGCUCUGCCUAUAAAUAGGUAUUCUCUUGUUCAGUUGUAGAUCAUCACACAAAUUCUUCUCUCUCUCAAUAUCAAUAAAGCUAUUCUCUGUACGGCCGUGGAGUAGGCAAAAAUUGCCGAACCAUGUAAAUCUUGUAUUUUCUUGUCUUGUACAAUUUAUUGCUUUUCUCUUUAAAUAUAUUUUUCCUUUCUAUUAGCCUGACACGCAUCCCACCAACUGGUAUUAGAGCACAGACAAUGUAAUUUUCGUAGAAAAGUACGGUAUUGGUGCAAGUACUAUUCACAAUAAUAGUGCGACACUAUUGAUCAUCAAUAUUAACACUAUUCACAAUAGUGAAGUAUUAUUCAUUAAUAAUGAUAGUACUGAUCACCAAUAGUGAGUAUUGUCUACUUUAUACGGUUGAGACAUUUUCCUACACAGAGUACUAUUCGCGGUUACUAUUCACAUAAAAAAUAUUUUUUUGGUGAAGAAAUAGCAUCGGAAGAAGGAAAAGUUAAAGAUUGACAAGUUUAAUGGCAAAGAUUUUGGAUUCUGGAAAAUGCAAAUAGAGGAUUAUUUGUACCAGAAAAAUUACAGUUACCUCUGACCGAGGUAAAACCAGAGAAUAUGGCCAAAGCGAAUUGGGAUCUAUUAGAUCACCAAGCUUUUGGCGUGAUUCGUUUGACGCUGACACGAAAUGUAGCGUUUAAUAUCAUUAACAAGAAGAUCAUUGCAGGCCUGAUGAAGGCGUUAUCAAAUAUGUACGAGAAGCCAUCUGCUUCAAAUAAAGUCUAUUUGAUGUGUAGACUUUUCAACCUAAAGAUGACAGAAGGUGGAUCUAUCACGGAACAUAUCAAUGAGUUUAAUGUAAUAUUAACUCAGUUGAGUUCUGUUAAUAUAACAUUUGAUGACGAAGUUAGGGCGUUGCUUCUACUAUCAUCUCUACCAUAGAGUUGGUCCGCAAGAGUAAUUGCAGUUAGCAGUUCAUCGGGAAGGACCAAACUCAAAUUGGAUGAUAUCAUAGACAGUUUUAAAUGAAUAUUCACCGGAGAGAAUCAAGUGAUUCCCUAGGAUCUGCUUUUUAAUACCGAAAGCAGGGGAAGAAACAACCAAAGAGGUCAAAGUCAUGGUCGUGACAGAUCAAAGUCAAGGAGAAAGGGGCAAUCCAAAAAUCGCAAAGGCAUUACUUGUUGGAAUUCCGAUAAAAAGGGUCACUACAGUAGUCAGUAUAGAGAACCAAAGAAGAAGAAAGAUGAAAAUUCAGCAAAUGUAAUUGCUGAACAAGUUGGUGAUGUACUAAUUUUGUAUGCAGAUAGUCCAGUCGAAUCUUGGAUUCUGGACUCAGAUGCAUCCUUUCACUCUACCUCAUGCAAAGAAUUAUUGCAUAAUUAUAUUGCUGGAAAAUUUAGGAAGCUUUAUCUAGCAGACGGCGAACCUUUAGAUAUUGUCAAGAAAGGUGAAGUCCAUAUAAAGACUUCAUAAGGCACGCUAUGAAAAUAUCAAAAUGUCCGACAUGUUCCUGGCCUCAAGUAAAAUCUGAUAUCCAUGGGUUAGAUUGAUAGUGAAGGAUACACAACAGUAUUUUGUAACAGAUCGUGGAAGAUAAACAAAAGAAAUUUGGUUGUGGCACGAGGCUUCAAGAAAGGAACACUGUAUACAACCGCAAUACAGAGAGAUACUAUAGCAACAAUUGACCAUGGCGUGACACAAUAUUGUGGCAUCGAAGGGUCGGGCAUAUGAGUGAGAAGGAAAUGAAGUUGUUGGCAUCCAACGAAAAGUUACCUAACCUCAAGCAUGUUGAACUAGGUUUAUGCGAAGAUUGCAUUUACGGGAAACAAAAGAGAGUUAGCUUCUCAAAGGCGGGAAGGACGCCAAAGAAAGAGAAGUUGGAACUAAUGCAUACAGAGGUGUGGGGACCAGCUCUUGUAACUUCUUUGGGAGGCUCAUGCUAUUAUGUCACCUUCAUUGAUGAUUCCACGAGAAAGGUAUGAGUUUAUUUUCUGAAAAAUAAAUCUGAUGUGUUUGUUACCUUUAAAAGAUGGAAAGCUGAAGUUAAAAAUCAGACAAGCCUAAAGUUAAAAUGUCUAAAGUCUGACAAUGGAUAUGAGAAUGGGAUCAGAAUGAUUAAGACAGUUCCUGGAACAUUGGAACAAAAUGGCGUUGCUGAGAGGAUGAACAGAAUCCUGAGUGAACGAGCCAAAAGUAUGAGAAUGCAUUCUGGGUUGCCGAAGUAUCUUUUGGCCGAGGCUGUUCACAUGACAACUUACCUCAUAAACAGGGGACCCUCUGUAUCACUAAAUUUUGAAAUUCCUGAGGAGAUAUGGACAGGAAAGGAGGUAACUCUCUCACCUAUGAAAAUCUUUGGUUGUGUUGCUUAUGUGCAUGUAAACUCUAAUGAUAGAGAUAAGCUUGAUCCUAUAGCCAAUAAAUGUUUCUUUAUUGGUUAUGGUGAUGAUAAUUUCGGUUAUCGAUUUUGGGAUGAUCAUAAUAGAAAGAUCUUAAGACACAGGAAUGCUACAUUCAAUGAAAAUGUGAUGUACAAGGACAAGCUUGGUGUAGAACCAACCAGCAGCAGCAGACAAGCAUUUGAAACAAUUGAUUAGAAGAAAUCUCAGAAAAUAAAGUGGCUAGGGAUUAUAACUGAUUCUGAAAUUAAAGAUGAAGAACGAGAAGCCGAAUCUGGAUCAGAAUUAGAUGUAGAACCAAAUCUGGAGGCAGCACUUGAAUCAAUUUCGAAAUCAGUUAAUCCUGAACCUAUAUUAAGGAGAUCUAAAAGAGUCAUGAAUGCUCCAGAUAGGUUAACUCUCUCUUUCUCUCCACUAUUUACUUCUGACUGAUGCUGGAGAAUUAGAGCAUUUUGUUGAAGCAAUGCAGGUGAUGAACUCUGAUAAGUGGAAGCCAACCAUGAAAGAAGAGAUGAAUUCUCUUCGAAAGAAUAAAAUAUGGAUACUUACAGAGUUACCAAACGGAAAGGAGGCAUUGCAGAACAAGUGGAUGUACACGGUUAAGGAAGAGCAUGACGGUAAGAAGAGAUAUAAAGCAUGACUAGUAGUAAAAGGCUUUCAACAAAAAGAAGGAAUUGACUAUACCGAGAUCUUCUCUCUUGUAGUCAAAUUAACUACUAUCAGGUUGGUGCUAAGUAUUGUAGCUGCAGAAAAUUUGCAUUUGGAGCAGCUAGAUGUUAAAAUUGCUUUCUUGCAUGGUGACCUUGAAGAAAACAUCUACAUGAAGCAACCCGAAGAUUUUCAAGUUUCUAGUAAAGAAAACUUUGUGUGUAAGUUGAAGAAGAAUUUGUACAUUUUGAAACAAACUUCCCGACAAUGGUACAAGAAAUUUGAUGGAUUCAUGCAUAACAAUGGUUUCAAACGAUAUGAGAUGGACUGUUGUUAUAUCAAAAAUCUUGACAAAUCCUAUAUCAUUUUAUUGUUGUACGUUGAUGAUAUGCUAAUUGCAAGAUCUAGCAUAAAUGAGAUCAACCAGGGUUAAGCAACAACUGGUGGAGGAGUUCGAAAUGAAAGACUUAGGACCAGCUAAGCAAAUGCUUGGGAUGAGAAUGAGCAGAGACAGGUCUGAAGGAACCUUAAAGUUGUCUCAAGAAAAGUACAUAGAGAAGGUACUAGUAGGUUCGAUCUUCAUGAUGCAAAGACCAAAAGCACUCCACUCGGAAGCCACCUUAAUCUGUAAAAGGACCAAUCACCUAAGAUAUGAAGAAAGGAAGUAUGUGUCUAAAGUUCCAUAUGCUUCAGCAGUAGGAAGUUUGAUGUAUGCUAUGGUUUGCACUAGACCUGACAUAGCCCAUGCAGUUGGAGUUGUCAGUAGAUACAAGUCAGAUACUGGAAAGGAGCAUUGGGAAGGUGUAAAAUAGAUAUUGCGAUAUCUCAAAGGCAUCUCAGGUAUGACACUUUGUUUUAAAAGGAGCAAUAUUAUCUUUCAAGGUUUUGCUGAUGCAAAUUUAGGCGGCGAUCUGGAUAGUCGAAAAAGUACCACAGGCUACGUGUUCACCUUGGGUGGUACUGUUGUUAGCUGGAUGUCCAAACUUCAGAAAAGUGUUGUUCUAUCUACCACUGAAGUAGAGUACAUGGCAAUAUCAAAAGCUGGAAAAGAGAUGAUUUGGCUCAAGAAUCUUCUUAAAGAGCUAGUAAAGAGUAGGACAAUUGUGAGCUUUUUAGCGAUAGACAGAGUGCAAUUCAUCUUACCAAGAAUCCAGUGUUUCAUGCAAGAUCGAAGCAUAUCCAGAUGAGGUAUCAUCAUAUCCGAGAGUUGAUAAGUGAAGGAACUCUUUCCCUACAGAAGAUACUAGGAUCAAAGAAUCCGUCAGAUAUGUUAACCAAAUUUGUCGGUGUUGACAAACUGAGGCUGUGCACCGCCUCAGUUGGCCUUCAAAACUGAUAAUGUGAAGGCGUCACACUAGAGAAUAGUACUUUUUUUAUUGUAGUAUGGGUUUGAAGGGGAGAUUAUCUUUGCAAUUCUUGGAUUGUCCUCUUCCUCUUUGCCAUUGAACUUGUCAAUCUUAACCUUCCCUUCUUCUGACGUCAUUUCUUCACAAUAUGUAUCAACUGUAUAAGGUGGACAACACUCACUAUUAUAUAUAUAUAUAUAUUUCUUUUAUAACCGCAAAUAGUAACCACGAAUAAUACUCUGUAUAGGAAAAAUGUAUCAACUGUAUAAGGUAGACAACACUCACUAUUGGUGUACAAUACUAUCACUAUUAAUGAAUAAUACUUCACUAUUGUGAAUAAUGUUAGUAUUGAUGAUCAAUAGUGUCGCACUAUUAUUGUGAAUAGUAUUUGCACCAAUACCGUACUUUUCUACCAGAAUUACACUGUCUGUGUUUUGAUACCAGUUGUUGGGAAGCGUGUCAGGCUAAUAGAAAGGGAAAAACAUAUUUAAAGAGAAAAGCAAUAAAUUACACAACACGUGAUAAGAUAAGAUUUAUAUGGUUCAGCUAUUUUUGUCUACUUCACGGCCACAUAAAGAAUAGUUUUAUUGAUAUUGAGAGAGAAAGAAGAAUUUGUGUGAUGAUCUACAACUAAAAAAGAUAAUGCCUAUUUAUAGGCAGAGCGUCUGCCGAAAAAAAAAGUUUUCAGCGAAUGCGAUUACGCGACAGGUUGGCACCACAAAUUACGCUCCGAAUUCUUUCUUUCACAUUUGCAGCCCACCAACUUUGGCUUUUCCUUUAUUCUCCCAUUUUCUUUAUUUUCAUUCUUGCUUUUUCUCUUUGUCUUCUUCUACUUUUUUUUGUCUUCUUUCUUUUCUUUCUCUUACAGUAAAUAGGGUUUGUUCCUAUCAGGGCUUAUGGGAGGCAUUUUGGGGUCAGGAUGAACCUAUGCCUUUCUAUGUUUCUAGUAUCUACAAUUCAAACUUGAGAUUCUACUAAGCCGAGAAAGCCAUUGCUAAAAGGAGACUUGAAGGUCUUUGUGCUUAUACUGUAAUGCUAAAGAACCCAAAGCAUCCACAAGGGAAGUGGGAUGAUAUUCUGGAACUUGCUAUUCUAAGGCCUGGUAUUGGAACCCGUGCUACAAUAGAGAAUGACAGUACUUUUUGCUACUUUCCACUCAAUCACUCAGUACGCUGGAAUGUCAAAGAACUCAGUUGAAGAUUUGGCUGCUGAACACAGCUCUCGUCUUCAAGCAAGAAGUGAAAGGCAAUUGGGCGAUAGCAGAUCGAAUGGAAAUUAAAUGGUUUAUUUCGCUUCGAGCAUCAUAGUGCUUCACCUGAAAUCAUGAAGAAUCCGUCGCUUUGGUAUCUGAAAAGUCCAUGAAGCUGGAAGUAGGUUCUGUCUUGUUGAUAGAAGAUUCAAACUGGAAGAAGGGUUAUCAGAUCAACUAAGGCUUUGUUUCUGUAUGUACUUCUCAGCUGAAACCAGCAUGGGAAGAUAUGAAGCAUAUGGUUCUGUCUUGUUGAUGGAAGAUUCAAACUGGAGGUUCUACUGCUUGUUCAGUUGUUUGUGCAGUUCGUUGGAACGAAGACCGUUGAAGUUAUCGGCAUUGAGUUGUUACAUAUAUGUAUUUUUCUUACAAAUUUUAUUAUUGUAAAGAUAGGAAUUAGUGAGAUUGCACUCAACUGUGUGAUUGUUUUGCUUACGGAUAUGGACUUGUAGGACACUGCUCAAGAAAUCAUUCUAUAUCUGUAAAUGGAAUAUAUCCUUCAUCACUUUAUGAAACUCCAUGGUUGAGUUGAAAUAGUCAAUGAAUCAUUAUUCUUUUGUUCA